CCUACAUUUAUUUUUACAUUUUGUUUUCAUUUACCACAAUCUGAUGUUUAGGGAAUUUCAGCAAUCACAGUUCACGUGGACGUCUUAUAUUUGCGCUAGUCUUUCCAAACAUAUUGCAAGAUUUCAGAAUGCUGCUUAUAUGAAUAUUGUUACUUCAUUGGUGCAACCCAGCUUGGAGACACCUCUAAUACCAUCAUAAAAACCAGUACUCAUGGCAAGGUCUUCAGGUCCACCUGGUAUAUCUCCAGCCAAACACUCAGUGGAGAGGAAACUUGGUCUCCCAAUUAAUACACAUAGGGUCAACCUUUUUAGAACAAUUGCUGCUUAGAUUUUAUUCUAUCCACGACUUCCUUCGCUCUCUAACACUAUAUCGGAUCACAAUGCCAUGAAAAGCAUUGUGAGCACCAUGGCGUGAUAGGUGGAGUGCAUGGGAUCAGGCAUAUUCAGGUGGGACUUACGUGCCUUGUCCCUCCUUAUAUCGUGCUACUUCAUGUUGUACCCUAUGGGGAAUGUGACUCGAAUCAUAAUCUCUAAACCUCAGACUCGCUCUCUGCUGUUUUAUGAAUAUAGUUUGCUAAUCCCUUAAUAAGUCUUGCCAACAGUUUCAUGGUAGAUGUAGUUCACAAAGAUCUUAGAUGCCAAGGCUAGCUGUGACUAGAAUAGACUAUACCGACGUGUUCAGAAUUAGCCGAGGAAGACGCUCUGAGAGCUGUAGAGCUGAUGGAGGAAGCAUUCAGGCAAGAGAUUAGUUAAAUGGAAGUGUAAAGGGCAUGGAUGCAUUUUUGAGAGAAGAUCUGUAUUCGGCGGAGGUCGCUUAGAAUAUUCCUGGACGCACAAGCUUUGAAAGAAAGCUCAGUCAUCCUUCAAAUCCAUUAUCCCUGCGUAUGUGGUUAUAGCAGAGGUCAGCUACCUUCUACUCUCUAGAUUAAAAUGGACUACAAAUCCCAUGAUGCUAUGCUGGAGGGUCAUCAGAGGUCUUGUUUGCUUAUUAAGUAUUGCAUACUUUAAUUCAACAUAAUGGAGCUGAGAAAUUAAAAAUCUAUCCAAAUCAACAAUGCAUCCAUUGCAGUUAUUUCGGAGUACAUUUUAAACCACACAGUAUUAUUAACUAAGGUGGGAACGGUUAGGAAUUCAAAGUGAUUUUCAAAUUUUGUCCAAAAUAGCCCAAUUAAAAA